rnacentral:rRNA from 1 species
GUUAAACGGCCGCGGUAUUUUGACCGUGCAAAGGUAGCGCAAUCACUUGUCUUUUAAAUGAAGACCUGUAUGAAUGGUGGAACGAGGGCCUAACUGUCUCCCCUUUCAAGUCAAUGAAAUUGAUCUAUCCGUGCAGAAGCGGGUAUAUAGCUACAAGACGAGAAGACCCUUUGGAGCUUAAGAUUAAAGAUCAACUAUGUCAAAUAUUUAUUAAUAGAACUAAAUAGUAACUGAUCACAAUCUUCGGUUGGGGCGACCACGGAAUAAAAAUAAACUUCCACAUGGACUGAGGACUAACCUUAAAACCAAGAAAGACAUUUCUAAGCCACAGAAUUUCUGACCACACAGAUCCGGCAAACUGCCGAUCAAUGGACCAAGUUACCCUAGGGAUAACAGCGCAAUCCCCUUUCAGAGUUCCUAUCGACAAGGGGGUUUACGACCUCGAUGUUGGAUCAGGACAUCCUAAUGGUGCAGC